GGGCCUGGAUGCUGUGGGGCGGGGCCUGGGUGCCAUCUGGUGGAGGGACCGCCGGGCACACAGCGCCCUCAGGUGGCUGCCGGGCGGGCAGCCCGGGCUGGGCGGAUGCUACAGGUCGCGCAGGUGGGGGAGAAAACCACCGCUCUCCAGCCCUGCGCCCCCAAGCCGUGCCUCGAGCCCUGCAUUCUUGAAGCCCAUCUUCCAGCCUCAUCCCCUGGGGACCCAGGGACUCACUUCCUUUGCAAAUCUGGGUGUCUCAUCUCCAGCGUGAUGUCCCGCAUGCCCCUGCCGUGGAGACCCAGAAUGGGGUCACCAAAUCCCUGUUCCCUCACGCACCGUCCUCCCCAACUCCGCUCCUAGGGGACCUCGGGGUCUGGUCACGUUCUGCCUUCCUUCUCAGGGACAAAGACGUCGCCCUAUUUCCCUGCCCUUUCCUCUUUGAAAGUUCAGCUCGCCUCUAAUCCUAUGCCACGACAAAAGAUCUGGACCUUGAGCCUUGACGCGGGCGUGCUACGUCCCAGCCCCUCCUCCCUGCAGGGUCUGGAUAGCUAAGCUCCCAGUCCGACCCCUGCCCCCAACAAAAGUCCCAGAGCUCCCCAACCUCUCCUCCACUGCAACCUUGGACCCAGUCCUCAGCCCCGCCCAGAAGGGGCAGGGCAUGCCCCUCACCUGUCGCCACUCCCCGAAGGCACUCCAUCCAGCUCCCCUUGGGGGAUCAGACUUCCGAACCCCAUCUCCCGGGAAGUCAGGUCGCAGAGCCCCCAACCCCUGCCCCCUUUGGAGACACAGCUACCUGCUGUCCCCUCCCCUUCUCCCGGGCCCGCCCUCGCCUCUCCCGCCCCGUCCCCGGGCUGGGCGGGGCCCUCCGUGCCUUUCCCAACGCUCCCGGCACCCAGGGCACCCGAGGGACCAUGGCUGCGGCAGCGGCCCCGCGGGGGCGACAGCGGGGAGAGCCUCGCGCGCUCGGCCGGGCGGUGAGGUUGCUGCAGCGCCUGGAGGAGCGGUGCGGGGACCCCCGACUCUCCUCGAGCCCGCCCUCGCUGCGGGACCUGCUGCCCCGCACCGCGCAGCUGCUGCGCGACGUGGCCCAAACCCGGAGGACGGCCGGCGGAGGCGACCCCGAGGGACCCGGGGGCGCGGGGGACUUCCUCGUCGUCUACCUCGCCAACCUGGAGGCCAAGAGCAGGCAGGUGGCGGAACUGCUGCCACCGCGGGGCCGGAGAAGCGCCAACGACGAGCUCUUCCGGGAGGGCUCGAGGCUCAGGCGACAGCUGGCCAAGCUGGCUCUCAUCUUCAGCCAUAUGCACGCAGAGCUGGGCGCGCUCUUCCCCCAGGGAAAGUACUGUGGACACACGUACCAGCUCACCAAGGCCCCUGCCCACGCCUUCUGGAGGGAGCACUGCGGAGCCCGGUGUGUGCUGCCCUGGGCCGAGUUUGAGUCCAUCUUGUGCACCUGCCACCCUGUGGAAUCGGGCGCCACUGCCCUGGCCUUGCGCUCCACCAUCGACCUCACCUGCAGCGGCCACGUGUCCGUCUUUGAGUUUGACGUCUUCACCAGGCUCUUCCAGCCCUGGCCAACCCUCCUCAAGAACUGGCAGCUCCUGGCGGUCAACCACCCGGGCUACAUGGCCUUCCUCACCUAUGACGAGGUCCGAGCGCGUCUGCAGGCCUGCAGAGACAAGCCGGGCAGCUACAUCUUCCGGCCCAGCUGCACUCGCCUGGGACAGUGGGCCAUUGGAUACGUGAGCACAGAUGGCAGCAUCCUGCAGACCAUCCCUCCCAAUCAACCCCUGUUCCAGGCCCUCCUGGAAGGACAAAAGGAAGGCUUCUACCUCUACCCAGAUGGGAAGAACCACAACCCGGACCUGACCGAACUCCGCCAGAUGGAACCCCAGCAGCACAUCCACGUGUCGGAGGAGCAGCUGCGGCUGUACUGGGCCAUGGACUCCACAUUCGAGCUCUGUAAGAUCUGCGCCGAGAGCAACAAGGACGUGAAGAUCGAGCCGUGCGGGCACCUGCUUUGUAGUCGCUGCCUGGCCGCCUGGCAGCACUCGGACAGCCAGACCUGCCCCUUCUGCCGCAGCGAGAUCAAGGGCCGAGAGGCUGUGAGUAUCCACCAGUUCCAGGGGAGGCCAGUGGAAGCCAGGCUCCCUGCUGAGGACCCCAGGCCUGGCAGUGACCAAGAAGAUAGGGAGGAGCCGCAGGGGCAGGUGGCCCCCUCAGCUCCCCCAUUGCCCCCUCGACUAAAUCUCUCCCCCAGGAGACCCAGAGAUGAAGGCCAGAGGAAGGUGGCGCCUCUGGCCCUCCCCAGACUUCGGGCUCCUCUUGCCUUGCCAAGAAUUAGGCCUGUGGCCUCAGCCCUGUGGGAAAGUACCUCCAGCCCCGAGGCCAGGGAGGGAGCCACAGAAAACUCCUAAAGGGAAAGUCACCCCUCCAGCUGCCCCUGUGUGUCCCGUGAUCGCUGCCCAGGCCCGGAGGCCAGGGCACCAAGAUGUGCUGCUAAAGGGAGCCCCAGGGGCCUUGGAAGGGGUUUGCGGAGCAGAAAUAAACUGCCAAGCUUGGUCUGUCCUUUGGUGUGUGGAGAAAGUGGACAGCGGCCACCAGGGGGCAGCUUGGCAUCGGGAACGGGCAUCCCUGAGGCCUGAUGGCCACCUGAUGAACCCAGAGGUCUGGGGAUCAGAGAGCCAAGAGUCUGGAUCCUCCAGAUCCAGGAGUCCAGGCCCCCAGGUCCCUUGCUUUCUCGGAUCCAAGAGCUCCACCCUCACAACUUAGGAGUCCAGAGUCCCAAGUUCUCAGAGAAUCAGGCAUCUGACUCCCUUUCCCCAUCAUGGCGAAGAUAUUCCUGGACCCCGACACAGGUAUCCGAGUUCUGAGUCCCCACAUUUCUCUGAGAGUGAGGUGCCCCGUCUUGCCACACUCUUCCCUCGUCCCUCGCUCUUUCCUCCAUUCCUCUCUGAUCUUCUCCCAGAGUGAUGGUGACUUCCAGUCCAAAUCAAGCUGAAGAAGUGUCUCCCCGGCUCCUCACUAAUCCCAGAGGGACCCAAGCCUCCUUCCACUUAAGUUUGAGCCACUUGGCAUCUGUUGAGCCCCUCCUGUGAGCUGGGCAGUGCUGGGCAUGUGGCGGUGAUCAGACAGACCCGCCCCCAGACAGUGAUGACUCAGAGUGGGCAGAGCUGGCAUGGGAAAGCCCAGGGGGCUGCUGAGGCCCAGAGCGGGCAGCUGACCCAGCCUGGGAGGGCUUCCAGGAGGAGGGGACGUCCAAGCUGAGACUGAAGAGCUGAGCAUCCUCAAAGCAUGCAUCACUGAUUUAGUUCCAAGCAACAGAAGCUGCCCCUGGGGCAGAAAGGAAAUUGAUUGAGAGGGUUGGGGAUGGCUCACAGAAUCCCAGGAGUGAUUACAAAAGCAGGAUUGGAAAGUGAUCAAGAGCACUGGCAGCUGGCCUCCAACCACAGCCCGGCCACGAUCACGCCACAGAACCUGUCUGAUGAGGAUACGCCGGUGCCCCGAUGACCACUGGGCACUUGUCACCUCACUGCCCCGGCUGCCCCAGAAACGGGCGGUGUCUGCGAGGUGUUGCUCGGAACAAAUCACGCCGAGACUAACGGACAAACAACAGCGAUCAUGUAAUUAUCCCGUGGUUGCUGUGGGCCAGGAUUUGGGGAUGGGCUCGGUUGGGUGGUUCUGGCUCAGGGUGCCAUCGAACGGUGCCAUCGAGUGGUGCUUGGAGCAGAGUAGCUGGCAGCUGGACAGGCGCCCCUCUGCAGUCUCUGACCUCUCCACGCUUACUAUUUUGGGCUUCCCCAUAGCAUGGCUGCCUCAGGGUAGUCAGACUGCGUAUAUGGCGGCUGAAGUCUUCCUGGAGACUAUUCCUGCGACCCAGGCAGAAGCUACAGGGCUUUCUCUACCUAAUUUUGGGAGUCUUGCAGUGCCCCUUCUGCCACAUCGGUGACAUACGAGUCACCAAACCACAGAUUUAAGAGCGGGGGACAUAGACCCCACCUCUCCGGGGAAAGAGUGUCCAGAUCAGAUUGUGGAAGAGCACGUGGGAUGGGAGACCUUGCUGCAGCCAUCUUGGGAAAAUAGAAUCCAUCCCUGCCACCAUACUGGGAAUGGAUUAGCCCAUUCUUGCUUUUCUGACAUUAUCAGCUCCCAAUUCCAAAGGGUAAUGGAAUUUGCCAAGCUUAGGCCACCUCAGCUCCAACUGAGGGCAUAUGGCUUCAGACAGCAGGGGUUUUUCUACAUGUGGGAAAGAGGCGUGGAUGCUAGCUGACCCUCCCCAACAAAAGGCCACUACGGUCUUCCCCUUUGAACCCUCCACAUCAGUAUGUCUCUUUCUCUGCUACAUUCUCUUACCCCAGAAGUUCUUAUCUAAAAUCACCCUGCACAACCAUCUGGUACGACCAAAAAUGUGUUUGCACUGCCCCCCCGCCUCGGAUGACACGAACCUCCCACAGUUCCAUUGUCCAGAGGCAUCUCUGGAAACACUGGGAAAUAGCCAUUUCCCCCCAAACGGGUCGUGAGCCCCCUAUCCCGCAUGCCAUGAACUAGUUUUAAAGUUACCCGCUGUAGGUCAAACAAUGGGAUAAAGGUAGAGGAAAGAUGAGGCUUGCUCAGAAAUGUACACGUCGAUGCACAUGAGACAGCAAGGCUGGAAAUGGAAAGUUAAUUCAUUUCAUUCUUACUCAGCUCCUCCUCAGGCCAAGCACGGUUCUAGGCAGUGGAGAUACAGGGAAUAAAACCACUUA